rnacentral:rRNA from 1 species
CCCUCAGAAAGUCACGGCUUACUACGUGCCAGCAGCCGCGGUAAUACGUAGGUGGCAAGCGUUUCCGGAUUUAUUGGGCGUAAAGGGUGCGCAGGCGGUCUGUUAAGUUCAGGGUGAAAGCGGGAGCUCAACUCCAUACAGCCCUGAAAACUGGCAGACUUGAGUACGGAAGAGGGAAGCGAAUUCCAUGUGUAGCGGUAAAAUGCGUAGAUAUAUGGAGGAACACCGGUGGCGAAGGCGCUUCCUGGUCCGUUACUGACGCUCAGGCACGAAAGCGUGGGGAGCAAAUAGGAUUAGAUCCCUAGUAGUCCACGCCCUAAACGAUGAGAACUAGGUGUCGGAAUUUUCGGUGCCGCAGUAACGCAUUAAGUUCUCCGCCUGAGGAGUAUGCACGCAAGUGUGAAACUUAAAGGAAUUACGGGGGCCCGCACAAGCGGUGGAGUAUGUGGUUUAAUUCGAUGCAACGCGAAGAACCUACCAGGCCUUGACAUCCCCUGCAAUACUAUAGAGAUAUAGCGGAGGUUAUCAGGGUGACGGUGGUGCAUGGUUGUCGUCAGCUCGUGUCGUGAGAUGUUGGGUUAAGUCCCGCAACGACGCAACCCUUGUCGCUAGUUACCAUCAUUCAGUUGGGGACUCUAGCAAGACUGCCGGUGUAAACCGGAGGAAGGUGGGGAUGACGUCAAAUCAUCAUGCCCCUUAUGGCCUGGGCUACCACGUACUACAAUGGCGCACACAGCGAGAUGCAAAGUGGUGACACUGAGCGGAACUCUUAAGUGCGUCUCAGUUCGGAUUGGAGUCUGCAACCCGACUCCAUGAAGCCGGAAUCGCUAUAAUCGCGGAUCAGCAUGCCGCGGUGAAUACGUUCUCGGGCCUUGCACACACCGCCCGU